CAGGGGCGGACGGGGCGGGUUCCGGGACAGGGGCGGUGACCGCGGCGGCCGCGGAGGGUUCUCGGACCGCGGCGGUUCCGAGGGCGGGUUCCGGCCCCGCGGGCGCGGCGGGUUCCGCGGCGGCCGAGGUGGCUUUGACCGCGACGACCGCGGCCGCGGCCGGGGCGGGUUCGGCCGUGGCGGCUCGGACAGAGGCGGACGGGGCGGCGGCAGGGGACGAGGAGCCUCCCCAGGAGGCGUGCAUCCGUCCUGGGCGGCCAAGAAGAGUCAGAGCCCCGCCAUCGGCAAGUUUGAGGGCAAGAAGGUCAAGUUCGAUUAGAGCUCUAGUCGUUACGAGGUGGAGGCGGUCGGUUCUGUGGCGGUAGAUCGGUUUUUCGAUGGGCUCGUACUGGCGAACGGAGCUGCUGCCAGAGUACAAUGUGGGGACGUUGAAUGUGUUUGCAGCAAAUAGUUUCAUAUACGUUUGACAGUGCUUUCCAUCCGCGCAGCCACAGUAGUGCACGACAGUGAUGUGUUUUGCCGUGGCUUCUCUGUCGUAGGCUGGUUGGUAUUGUGUGGAGACCUGUGCAGUUGUUUGCAUCUGUGACAUUGUAUGGAGAGCCGUGUGGUUUUCAGCUGUGACAUUGGGCAUAUUGUUACCUCACACCAUCGGUGGACUCUAUGUACAAGGUUUUCAUGUUGCCACAGUUGUUAUACAUGCAAUGGAUCGUUGUAAUAAACUUGUUUGAUCGAUA